AAAAAUCAGACAGAUCAAUUCCUAGCCUGAUUGUGUAGAGUUGAUUAAACAUUACUAAUCACAAGUAGCUAAUCCUGUGAAUUUGGUCUUCUUCAAUCAUCCUUCUAAGCUGCAAUAAAAUACAACACAUAUUUUCAUCAUGCAAGCACCAAUAUGUGUUAAUGCGCCUUCCUAUUUUAAAAAAUUAGCUCAGCACUAUCCUUACUACUGCCAUGAAUUAUUUCAAAAGCACUGUCCAAAAUUUCAGAAUUUGCACCAUAACCAUCACUUUGAAAGCAUCAUUGCAUUCCUAAAACUUCUUAAAUACAAACUACAUAGUACAAAACAAGUUAAUAGGUGGGAGCUGGCACAUCAUGUCUUCUACAGUUUUCUUUAAUUAACCAACAUGUGCAGAAGAAAUUCCCAACCAAUCUAUCUUUAAAAUGCACUAUGAUUUUCCCAUUUUAAAGGUUUCAUGUCAACUUCAACUAUAAUUAAAUUAGAUUUGAAUAUGAACGCUUCCAAUGAGAAAUUUAGCAGUAUAAUUUGACUGAUCAAGCAGCUUAUUUAUGUAUGGCAUAGCUUAGAAAUUUUUCUAACUGAUUUACAAAUAUCUUUUAAAACUUUGUGAAACUUAUACCUUCUUUUUUUCACCAAUAUAAAAGAAUAUUGAAU
rnacentral:misc_RNA from 1 species